AAUGAACGUUGGCGGCGUGGAUUAGGCAUGCAAGUCGAGCGAGAACCGGAGCAAUCCGGGGAAAGCGGCAAACGGGGUAGUAAUGUGUCGGUACGUGCCCUCAGGUCGGGGAUAGCCAGGGGAAACUCUGAUUAAUACCCGAUGAUCUCGAGAGAGCAAAGGUCCGCUGCCGGAGGAGCGGCCGACAUGGUAUCAGGUAGUUGGUGAGGUAACGGCUCACCAAGCCUUAGACGCCUAGGGGGCGUGAGAGCGCCGACCCCACCACC
rnacentral:rRNA from 1 species